rnacentral:rRNA from 1 species
UAGGGAAUAUUGCACAAUGGAGGAAACUCUGAUGCAGCGACGCCGCGUGAGUGAUGAAGGCCUUCGGGUCGUAAAGCUCUGUUGUACGGGAAGAAGGUCAUUUACCUAAUACGUAAGAGGCUUGACGGUACCGUAUAAGAAAGGACCGGCUAACUUCGUGCCAGCAGCCGCGGUAAGACGAGGGGUCCUAGCGUUGUUCGGAAUCAUUGGGCGUAAAGCGUAUGUAGGCGGCUUUUCAAGUCAGAUGUGAAAGCCCACGGCUUAACCGUGGAAAUGCAUUUGAUACUGCUAAGCUUGAGUGCGGAAGAGGAUGGUAGAAUUCCUGGUGUAGUGGUGAAAUACGUAGAUAUCAGGAGGAAUACCGGAGGCGAAGGCGGCCAUCUGGUCCGCUACUGACGCUGAGAUACGAAAGCGUGGGGAUCAAACAGG